ensembl:lncRNA
CACAGAGCAACAGAAGACCAUUCCUUUUCAAUGCACAUGGCCAAACAGAGCUACAAUUUCAGUGACAGCAGCAACCAACAAUGCUGCAGCACUACAAGCAACUUUUGAAUAGAGAUUUUCUCAAUUCUAUGACAAUUCAGCAUGACAUGGUUUCCAGUACCAGAGGAUGCAAAGCAGCCCCAGAGCAUCACCGAGCCCCAACUAUGUUUAACUAUGGACAGUGUUCUUUCUUCAUUCUUCGUCUUCCAGACAUACCGCUGAGCCAUCAUGCUGAAAAUUUCCAGUUCUGUUUCAUCACUCCACAGAACAUCUGUCCACAGAACUGAAUCCCAAAACUUCUGAGGCUUAUUUAUAUGAUUUUGAGCCAAGUUUUCUUGUGCUUUUGGAUCAGUAGUGGAAUACGUCUUGGAGUUCUGGCAUGGAAACCUUCUGCGUUUAGUAUACGCUUUACUGUGCUCAGUAAAACCUCAGUGCCUGUUACUACCAAGUCUUAAUGCAGGACUUUUGCAGUCACUCAAGGGUUUUUCACAACCUGCCUACUCAGAAAUCUUGUUGCAGCCGUUGAUAGCUUAAUUUUCAGGUAUUUCAUUUAUUUGAAAAUAAAUAAUUCAGGUAUUUCAUGUAUUCCAGCUCAAGCACACCUGAUACAACUAAUGAAGCCCUUGAUUAGCUGCAUCAGGUGUGCUUGAGACAACACCUGCUUUGCAUAUUUGUGCUGUUGUGAGGGAUUCUAUUCAGGGGGUUGAAUAAUUUUGAAACUGGAGAAAUCAUUAUACGUUGCAUUUUCAGUUGAAUUUGGGGAAAUCACUUGAAGCAUUCAUUGUGUUGAACUAUUUCAAUUGCUUUUGUUUGAUUUGUUCAUCGAAUUUUGACGAUAAACCUGAUUUGCAAUGGGGUUGAAUAAUGUUGAUUGCAACUGUACGUACAUGUGAGACUGAUAAUGAUAAUAUGGUGUACAAAAUGGCAAAACUAUCUUCAUGUAAAACAGUAAAAUCUUACAUUGCCAUUGUAAUAUUAUGAAUCAUUUUCAUACACAUAAAAAUGUUAUUUACUCUUUCAAUGUAUGACUUAGGCAUGGCAGUACCACAGGUCUUUGGAAUAAUUCAAAC